CCCUCAAAGAUGAUGAGGUGGAUAGGUCUGGGGUGUAAGUACGGCGACGUAUGUAGCUGACAGAUACUAAUCGAUCGAGGACUUAACCUAUUAU
rnacentral:rRNA from 1 species